rnacentral:rRNA from 6 species
UUACGGACAGUGCCUGGUGGGUAGUUUGACUGGGGCGGUCUCCUCCCAAAGAGUAACGGAGGAGCACGAAGGUGGGCUAAUCACGGUCGGACAUCGUGAGGUUAGUGCAAUGGCAUAAGCCCGCUUGACUGCGAGAAUGACAAUUCGAGCAGGUGCGAAAGCAGGUCAUAGUGAUCCGGUGGUUCUGAAUGGAAGGGCCAUCGCUCAACGGAUAAAAGGUACUCCGGGGAUAACAGGCUGAUACCGCCCAAGAGUUCAUAUCGACGGCGGUGUUUGGCACCUCGAUGUCGGCUCAUCACAUCCUGGGGCUGAAGUCGGUCCCAAGGGUAUGGCUGUUCGCCAUUUAAAGUGGUACGCGAGCUGGGUUUAGAACGUCGUGAGACAGUUCGGUCCCUAUCUGCCGUGGGCGUUGGAUGAUUGAGAGGGGCUGCUCCUAGUACGAGAGGACCGGAGUGGACGAACCGCUGGUGUUCGGGUUGUGUCGCCAGACGCAUUGCCCGGUAGCUAAGUUCGGAAUCGAUAACCGCUGAAAGCAUCUAAGCGGGAAGCGAGCCUCAAGAUGAGUCAUCCCUAGACCUUUAAGGUCUCUAAAGGGUUGUUGAAGACUACAACGUUGAUAGGUCGGGUGUGUAAGUGCUG